rnacentral:rRNA from 1 species
AUUGAACGCUGGCGGCAGGCCUAACACAUGCAAGUCGAACGAGUGGCGGACGGGUGAGUAAUGUCUGGGAAACUGCCUGAUGGAGGGGGAUAACUACUGGAAACGGUAGCUAAUACCGCAUACCAUCAGAUGUGCCCAGAUGGGAUUAGCUUGUUGGUGGGGUAACGGCUCACCAAGGCGACGAUCCCUAGCUGGUAUGAGAGGAUGACCAUCAACACUGUGACGGAGACACGGUCCAUACUGCUACGGGAGGCAGCAGUGGGUAAUAGUGGACAAUGGGCGCAAGCCUGAGGAAGCCAUGCCGCGGUUAUGAAGAAGGCCUUCGGGUUGUAAAGUACUUUCAGCGGGGAGGCGUUACCCGCAGAAGAAGCACCGGCUAACUCCGUGCCAGCCGCCGCGGUAAUAC